AUUGAACGCUGGCGGCAUGCUUUACACAUGCAAGUCGAACGGCAGCGCGGGCUUCGGCCUGGCGGCGAGUGGCGAACGGGUGAGUAAUGCAUCGGAACGUGCCCAGUAGUGGGGGAUAGCCCGGCGAAAGCCGGAUUAAUACCGCAUACGACCUGAGGGUGAAAGCGGGGGACCGAAAGGCCUCGCGCUAUUGGAGCGGCCGAUGUCGGAUUAGCUAGUUGGUGGGGUAAAGGCUUACCAAGGCGACGAUCCGUAACUGGUCUGAGAGGACGACCAGCCACACUGGGACUGAGACACGGCCCAGACUCCUACGGGAGGCAGCAGUGGGGAAUUUUGGACAAUGGGGGCAAGCCUGAUCCAGCCAUGCCGCGUGCGGGAAGAAGGCCUUCGGGUUGUAAACCGCUUUUGUUCGGGAAGAAAUCCUCUGGGCUAAUACCCCGGGGGGAUGACGGUACCGGAAGAAUAAGCACCGGCUAACUACGUG
rnacentral:rRNA from 1 species